rnacentral:rRNA from 1 species
UCUUGGUCAUUUAGAGGAAGUAAAAGUCGUAACAAGGUUUCCGUAGGUGAACGUGCGGAAGGAUCAUUCAUAAUAAGUGUUUUAUGGCACUUUUUUAAAUCCAUAUCCACCUUGUGUGCAAUGUCAGGGUUGAUUUCUUUCGAGAGAUCAGCCCCAAACAUCAACUAUUAUCUCAACUCUUUGUCUGAAAAAUAUUAUGAAUAAAACAAUUCAAAAUACAACUUUCAACAACGGAUCUCUUGGCUCUCGCAUCGAUGAAGAACGCAGCGAAAUGCGAUACGUAAUGUGAAUUGCAGAAUUCAGUGAAUCAUCGAAUCUUUGAACGCAUAUUGCGCUCUUUGGUAUUCCGAAGAGCAUGCUUGUUUGAGUAUCAGUAAACACCUCAAAGCCCUUUUUCUUUUUUUUGAAGAAAGGCUUUGGACUUGAGCAAUCCCAACACUUUUUUCUUAAGAGUGGCGGGUUGCUUGAAAUGCAGGUGCAGCUGGACAUUCUCCUGAGCUAAAAGCAUAUUCAUUUAGUCCCGUCAAACGGAUUAUUACUUUUGCUGCAGCUAACAUAAAGGGAGUUUGACCAUUUUGGCUGACUGAUGCAGGAUUUUCACAAGAGUCUUCAAAAGCUCUUGUUAAACUCGAUCGGCAAAUCAAGUAAGACUACCCGCUGAACUUAAGCAUAUCAAUAAGCGGAGGAAAGG